rnacentral:lncRNA from 1 species
GGGGGGGCGGAGAGGCGGGGGGGAAGAGGGGGAAAUCCCUUUUAGUUUUGCGAUUAGGCUGCCAGGCUUUGAAAAGGGCUUAAAAACAAAGUCAUGCUCAGCCUUUUGUAGGAGAGAUCCAGAUGUUAUGUAGAUUUUUUUGGUUUUUUUUUUUUUUGUGCAUGUUCAUUUGGGAGCGGAUCCGGCGGUGAGCGCUGUAUGUCCGUGUGUACGUUGCUGGACUUUGCCAUAUAUCGACGUCGCGUUUGUGGAAUGUAUGCUGGAGUAUUAGCUCGAGGAUCUCCUCCAAGAUUAAAGCUAGUCCUAAGAGCAACCGAAUUGCUGUGACUGACUUUCACGGGACUGUAAAGAGAGGGCUAUGUGUGUUUAAAGAGAUGCUGAAGAGAUUUCUGAGUUCACGGGGAAGAAGGAAAGGUUGGUUUGGGGAACGGCAGCGCGCCUGGCAGGUUGAUUGUGCAAGAGCUCCUUCAGACAGAACAAUUUGCAUGGUAUCCAUCAACACACAAACUACUUCCUUCACAGAGGAACCGCCAGGAACAUACAGGCUCCGGAGUACUGG